UAAUUUUUUUUGCGAUAUUUUAAUUUCCCUUUCCCAAAAACACAACACUCAGCAGCUGCAACAAAUAAAAAAAGAAAGAAAGAAAUGUUAAGAGAAGAGAGGGAGAAACGGAGAAGGAGAGGAAAGGGAGGAAGGAGUCGGGCCGGCGCUGCUGAGUUCGCCGCCGUCGUCGCGUUGCCGUGCUGUCGAAAAGCCAGAAUCGCAAGAGUAAGAACUGCGAAGAGAGAGGGAGGCCGCAUCAGCUCACCGCGAAGCCAGCGCCGUCGUCAUCCUCAUCGUGGGUCUGCACCGUCGCGUCUUGCCACCGCCGCCACCACUAAGCUUGCCGUUCAUCACCAUUGAAGCGGAAGAGAGAGAGAGUGUUCGCGAAGAGAGGGAGAGCACGCACUCACGAAGGAGAAGAACGACGAAGAGUGAAGGAGAAGCAGAAGACGAUGAACCCAGGGGAGAAGGAGGAGGUCCUUUCUUGCACCGUGUUGCUCUGCCGCUGCGGCUGCCGUCGAUUGGGGUCAAGGCCGUCACCGUGGCACCCUGUUCCAGUCGCCAUUAGGGUUUUUUGCUAAUGCCAUUGAUAGCGCUGCCGCUGGGAGGAGCCGAACGGGGAGAGGAGAUCGCCGUGAAACACACCGCCACCAGUUACAACCGUCGACGAAAUUGGGACAAAUUCACCGAUAACUCUGCUUCUUCCUUUCUUGAAUCUGUUCUGCUUCUAUUUUGUUCCAAUAUUCUCCUAACUUUCUUUUUAUGCACUUUGAAAUUGGUUUUGCUAAUUUUUUUUGUACCUAGUAAUUGCUUUACUUCAUCGAUGGUAUGUCUUGUUUGCUUUUCAAAUUUAAUUUUGUUGCCUGACUGACAAUGACAUGGGUAUUGUACAUUUUAUUGAUUUGUUAUUUCUUUGGAUAUGUUAUACUGGCACUUGAUAAACUUGUUCUCCACCACGAGGGUGUUGAGAUAUUAUACUCAUUAAAACAAAGGUAGAUUUCAUUGCUUGCUUCCUCUAAUUUGAUGGUGUUUACCUAUGUGGAGGUGUAUCGUGUUUGCUUUUCAAAUUUAAUUUUGCCCGAGCUCCAAGUUGUAACAGUAAUGAACAUUAUUGGUAUGCUAGAGGUCUAAGGUAUUUUAUUAAAUUUUUCAUGACUGUGCUUGUAAGAGGAUAAUUUGAUUUCAAACUGCAGUCAAGUAAGUGCAAUCAUGUAAUUAGAAUUAAUGUGUCUUAGGAUAACUUAGUUAUUUUUAUGAUGGAUAUGAGAAUAUUAAGUAAUGAUUAGCCUUUGCAUCUGAUGUGAAUGGUCCCAAUUGAACCUUCUUUACAAGUCUCGUUCUUUCUAAUUGAUAAAUGUUGUUUUCCUCUUGGGAAGUUCAUUAUGACGAGUAUUUAGAGUCAAUGUGAUCUCAAACUCUGUUUGUUAAUGUUGGUUAAGCUUCUAUUUUGUAAUCUUAGUUGCUCUAUUCUUGAAAAAUCUGCACUGAGCAUGUACAAUGGAUGAUUUGCAGGAGAGAUUGAAGAAAGAGAAGGAGAAGAAAGAACACAAAAAGAAAGAAAUCCCAUCUUUACACUAUUAUAAAGGUUCUUUGUUAACUUAUUGUUUGUCCUUAUUCUUUGAAGAAAAAAUUAUUGUGGUCCAGGAUUUUGGAGGAGGAAAGGAGCUGAAUUAGAUCUUGAAGGGACAAGUACCAAACCACUUUGCUUCAUUCUCUGAGUGCGUUCAUUGGUCACAGCCAAUCCAUGGGAUUUUUCUAGGGUGCCAGGAAGAUCAUUAGGAGGAUCGGCAGCUGUAAUUUCUGCCAGGCAGUGUGUGGUAUCACUGGGAAGUGAUACUGGUGAAAGCUUCAUCAGUCGCUGAUGCUGGGAUUCUCCUUCAUGCAAUUGCUGGUCAUGAUAGAUUUGAUGCUACCUCAAGCAAUCAAGAACUUAACUCUAGUAAACAGAGGG